AUUAGGUGGCUCCAAAGGAGCCCCUACCCCCAGCAGGCUUAUCAGGAAGGGGGCUAGCCAGGCUGAUCCGGAAAAAGCCAGCUGGAGAUUAAGGAAGUUAUUAAUGUUUGGAAAUGGGAUCUGGGCUGUCAGGGUAUCACGUCACUGCUGCUGAGGGGACAGGCAGGCAAGGAGAGCCCAGCAACUGUUCGUAGGGACAGCAUUUUAAAGCUCCUUCCAUGGAGCAAGGAAACAGCCCAGUCAUAAAGCUCCCUGAUGCCUGGAACCCAUGGGGCCAGGGGCUGGGGGCGGUAGGUUGAAGGACUGAGAAAGUAAUGUUCUAUUGAGUCAAGAGGGACAGACUGUAGUUUGGAGCCCUGGGAGAGUUCCUGGCUGGUGGCUGGGGGCAUGCUGGGACCAGGGAAGAGGCUGGCUCUGCAUCUCCCCAGCGCUCCCUGGACUGCUGGCCCCCUCCUGCUUCCAAAGCUGUCAUCUUUGAACCCUUGUCUGCAGGCUUUGUGCUGAUUGGAGGUGGUUGUAAACAUCAGCCCAAACCAAGCAUAAGGAAGGCGAAAGCUUGACCAAAAAUGAUCGUGUGGGGGAGUGAGUGGAGAGAAGGCAGAGCCCCACGUGCACAGUAAACCGGAGCGCCCUGCGAGGCGUUCUGAAGUCAAGGAGAUGUGGUUUAUUUACAGAGGCGCCUGCGUGGGCUCUUCAGUGCCAGUGGUUGUGGUAAUUAAGAGUUGACAAUAUCUGUUUGGUCCUGGUUCCCGCGGUUUUAGCUUCCGCCUUCUCUUCCUCUCCUGGCGUCUCCUGCGUGGCCAUGAGGAAGGCCCGGCGGUCAUGCCCAGUUCCGAGGGCUCCCGGGGCUCCCUCCCACCACUCCAGGACCCUGUAGCCCAUUCACUACCUGUUCUCUCCAGAAUGCCUCUUGCGCCCCAUCUCUCCCUUCAGAGAAGGCUUCCCCGUGUCCACCCGCCGUGCCCACAGAGCUUGCUCCUGUACAAGUGUGCAGCCUCACGCUGCAGGAAGUCCCUGUGCCCAGUUCACUGUCAACUCCAGGGCCACAGCAACCAUGAGCUCUGACCUGGACAACCUGCAGCAACCAAGUCCUGCCCCAGGGGCAAGCCACUGACAUCAGUGCUGCCAUCUGUGGAAAAACUGACCCUUCCUUGCUCAGAGGAUGAGCCCAGGAGUUCCAGGUGCUCCGCGUUGCAAAAGUAACUUAAUCCUCACAGCAACAACUGAGGUAAACCUUGCGAGUUUCCUGGGGCAACUCAGUCAAAGAGGGGUCAAAUGCCAUGCUCAAGGUCAUUUGGCUAGUGAGUGGGACAGCCAGGGUUUAAACCCUGGUGAUCUGCUUCAGAGUUCAUACUCUUUGCCUUGACAUCCCAUCAUCCACUCCAGAGGUGGAUGGUUAGUGGUUCUCAAAGUGUGCUCUUUGGAACCCCCAGGGUUCCCUGGAAUCUCUCAGGGGCUGUGGUGGCGGAGGCUGAGCAGAUACGGCUGUGGCCUCUCAAGCCCUGUCCAGUCAGAGCAGCGUCAUUUCCCUCAGCUUCACAUCUUGAGCUUUUGCAGGAAAUUCCAUUUGAAGAAGGGGAUGUGUUACUAAGGGAAGUUGAAACCCCUCUGGAACGGUGACUCUAGGGUCCCCUGCAGCGUAAAGAACGCCAUCAUCUUUUAGGAAGCUGACUCUUCCCCUCCCCAAGAUCCCCGACCCCCCUCAGCAUCCCUUGGACAGUCCUUGAAGGCAGGGUGAGACAAACGCUUGCCACUGCAAAUUGCCUUGAUGUUGGGAGUAAAAGUGACAAGGCGUCCUUGGCCGGCGUGCCCUCAAGUGAUGUUACCGUCAAGGGGUGCAAGCGAGUUCUCGCCUGCCAGUCAGAGCGAACCAUUCCCAGAGCAGGGAGUCACGGUGUCUCUGGCUGGAAGGGACCUUGAAAGUCAUGAGUCAGGCCCCACCGACGCACAGCCCCCUGGGCAGCCCGGGCACUGACAGGGAGCUGCCUCUGCAGGAGGCUGGCCCUCCCCGAUGCACCGUGAGGUGAGGCCCGCUGUGCCUUGCACUGAGCCGACUCCCUCGAACCCUCCCCUGUGGUCCUGAGCCUGCCUCCGGAGCUGCGGGGAGCAAGCGGGCUGCUCGGCCGCAUGACUGGCCUCCAAAUCCUUGCCGACAGUUUUCAUGUCCCCUUCAAGUCUUCUCCAGGCAAAGCCGCCCGGGCCCUUCCAUCCCUUCCUCAGAUGACAUACAUGGUUUCAAGUCCCCUUAUUGUCAGCAUAUUAACAUCUGGGGAAAGAAAAUAUUGCAGGUCUAGUCAGCCUUUGACAGGGCUGAAUUCUGCAACCUAUCCUUGGGCAGAGGAGACAUCCCGGGUCCCUGAGGGUGAGAUGCAGACAAGGGCAGACAGAUGACAUCGGGAGACCUGGGAGGUAGGGUGAGCCGGGAGCUGGGCAGAACCAAGCCUGCCAGACCAAUCCCGGGGGUGUCUUGGGAGUGCUGCGUGGGCUCAGCCUGCUGCUGCCCCCCACCCCGGGUCUGUGGUGGGCAUGCAGCUAAUCAGAGCUCUGGGCGAAUGCUCUGAAUCCUGUGGGCAGAGCCGGUGCUCCUGGCUGAGCCGCUUCCCAAGCAGAUCUCAGAUCAAGCCUGUGAGCCACGGGAGAUAGUCCCACUCCGAGGGAGGACAACCUGUCCAUGCACAGUCCCCCUCUCCAGCAAGUCAGCUCCGUGAGGGUAGGGCUUGCUUUCUUGCUCACCACUAUAUUUAUUCCCAGCACUGAGGACAAAGCCUGGCAUAUAGUAGGUGCUUGAUAAAAGCUUGUUGUAAGAAUGAAUGUGGAAGAAAGCCAGCCCUCUUGGAAUAAAGAUAACAAUGGAGGCUACCAGUUAUUAAGCACCUAUGGUAUACUACACAGUGGGGCCUGUGAACAUAGGAGCUAUAUCUGCUUUGCUUGCUGCAGUACCCUUUGUGAGAAGUAUGGUAUCUGACACACAGAGUUGCUUAGCAAAUAUUUGUUGAAUGUUCAA